GAUGAACGCUGGCGGCGUGCCUAAUACAUGCAAGUCGAGCGAACGGACGAGAAGCUUGCUUCUCUGAUGUUAGCGGCGGACGGGUGAGUAACACGUGGAUAACCUACCUAUAAGACUGGGAUAACUUCGGGAAACCGGAGCUAAUACCGGAUAAUAUUUUGAACCGCAUGGUUCAAAAGUGAAAGACGGUCUUGCUGUCACUUAUAGAUGGAUCCGCGCUGCAUUAGCUAGUUGGUAAGGUAACGGCUUACCAAGGCAACGAUGCAUAGCCGACCUGAGAGGGUGAUCGGCCACACUGGAACUGAGACACGGUCCAGACUCCUACGGGAGGCAGCAGUAGGGAAUCUUCCGCAAUGGGCGAAAGCCUGACGGAGCAACGCCGCGUGAGUGAUGAAGGUCUUCGGAUCGUAAAACUCUGUUAUUAGGGAAGAACAUAUGUGUAAGUAACUGUGCACAUCUUGACGGUACCUAAUCAGAAAGCCACGGCUAACUACGUGCCAGCAGCCGCGGUAAUACGUAGGUGGCAAGCGUUAUCCGGAAUUAUUGGGCGUAAAGCGCGCGUAGGCGGUUUUUUAAGUCUGAUGUGAAAGCCCACGGCUCAACCGUGGAGGGUCAUUGGAAACUGGAAAACUUGAGUGCAGAAGAGGAAAGUGGAAUUCCAUGUGUAGCGGUGAAUUGCGCAGAGAUAUGGAGGAACACCAGUGGCGAAGGCGACUUUCUGGUCUGUAACUGACGCUGAUGUGCGAAAGCGUGGGGAUCAAACAGGAUUAGAUACCCUGGUAGUCCACGCCGUAAACGAUGAGUGCUAAGUGUUAGGGGGUUUCCGCCCCUUAGUGCUGCAGCUAACGCAUUAAGCACUCCGCCUGGGGAGUACGACCGCAAGGUUGAAACUCAAAGGAAUUGACGGGGACCCGCACAAGCGGUGGAGCAUGUGGUUUAAUUCGAAGCAACACGAAGAACCUUACCAAAUCUUGACAUCCUUUGACAACUCUAGAGAUAGAGCCUUCCCCUUCGGGGGACAAAGUGACAGGUGGUGCAUGGUUGUCGUCAGCUCGUGUCGUGAGAUGUUGGGUUAAGUCCCGCAACGAGCGCAACCCUUAAGCUUAGUUGCCAUCAUUAAGUUGGGCACUCUAAGUUGACUGCCGGUGACAAACCGGAGGAAGGUGGGGAUGACGUCAAAUCAUCAUGCCCCUUAUGAUUUGGGCUACACACGUGCUACAAUGGACAAUACAAAGGGCAGCGAAACCGCGAGGUCAAGCAAAUCCCAUAAAGUUGUUCUCAGUUCGGAUUGUAGUCUGCAACUCGACUACAUGAAGCUGGAAUCGCUAGUAAUCGUAGAUCAGCAUGCUACGGUGAAUACGUUCCCGGGUCU
rnacentral:rRNA from 1 species